rnacentral:rRNA from 1 species
GAGUUUGAUUCUGGCUCAGGAUGAACGCUGGCGGCGUGCCUAACACAUGCAAGUCGAACGAAGAAUUUUUUGGAAGUUUUCGGAUGGAAGAAAAAUUACUUAGUGGCGGACGGGUGAGUAACGCGUAAGUAAUCAACCUACAACACACGAAUAACUAAGAGAAAUCUUAGCUAAUACGAGAUGAAGUAAGUAUAUCGGGAGAUAUAAAUAUGAAAGCUGAGGCGGUUGUAGACGAGCUUGCGUCUGAUUAGCUAGUUGGCAGGGUAAGAGCCUACCAAGGCGACGAUCAGUAGCCGGCCUGAGAGGGUGAACGGCCACAUUGGAACUGAGAGACGGUCCAAACUCCUACGGGAGGCAGCAGUGGGGGAUAUUGCACAAUGGGCGAAAGCCUGAUGCAGCAACGCCGCGUGAGCGAAGAAGGCUUUCGAGUCGUAAAGCUCUGUCGUAUGGGAAGAAAAAAAUGACAGUACCAUACAAGAAGCCCCGCA